UCCACAUCCCCCUGCCUUUUCCGAGAAAAGGACAGUUAGUGCCUGGACCAGGACCAUCACACUGGGGACCGGCUUCUCUGCUCUCCCGUUAUGGGGGUCGGGGGAAUGAUGGGUCAAGGGUCUUCCGAAGAAAGCGAGAAAGGAACAGGCGCCUUCAAAAGCCCACUUGGCGAUGGGUUACAGUAAGAGGUUUCCCCUCCAGGUGCAGCUUCAGAGCCAGGCGAGCCAGGAAGGACCAGCGGGCGAGGUGGAAGUCUGCAUUAUCACGAGGAGCUUGGAAAGGAGGUAACACACUCAAGGCAAAUUUCAAGUAACUCAUCCUGGAGGCAGCUGCCUACUCUGCAGCUGUGGUUCUCCACCACAGAGAGAAGAAAAGGGAGGGAGAUGGAGUGCGCAGGUCUGAGAAGGCUUUCAUUCUGGAGCAUCUGCAGGAGCCUGCACCAUGGCCCAGUAGCACCCCUUUUUCUCCAUGAGCUGCUGGUGGGUUCCCCCCUCCCGGAUAGCGCCUCCUUCCAGAAAGAGGAUGUGGUCAGCCUGCUCCACCAGGCUGAGGUGCUGGGUGAUGAGAAGCACUGAGCGGGAGUACCGCUCAGGGCUUUCGUACAGGAGCUGCUCCACCUGAGGAAAGACAUCGGACCGUCAGAGCCGGGGACUACCCUCAGCCCAGGGAGACACCUGUGUUUCCAGGGCUGGGACUGACCUCACAGGAUCACUGCUGGCUCUGCUAACAACCCCAAGGACACCAACGUUUCCCAUUCUGAGUACUUCUCCGCAAACCCUUUGUUUCAUUAAGGACUGUUUUACAUGAAGGGUGCAAAAGUAGGAUAAAAAUGAGAACCCUAGGGUGAAACACGUGACAGAAGAAUAAAGACUAUUGAAUAGUCCUCUUCUCUACCCAUGGACUUGGCAUUUUUAUAUUCGAUUUUAAGGAAAUAUAACUUAGUAGUAAAGAGAUGAGCAUUCAAGUCAGGCAGACCUGAAUUUGGGUCAAGGCUGCGCCACUCAAAAGCUAUAUGACCUCUAUAUGAGCAGCUUAUUCAACCUCUUUUAACCUCCAUUUUGUCAUCUGUAGAAUGAUGAUAAAUGCCUAGCUCAGAAGGAUUCCUAAUGAAUAAAUGAGUGACAGUGCAUGUAAACAGACUAGCUUAAUUAAUAUUAAUAUGAUUAGGAUGGGCUGGGCCCGGUGGCUCAUGCCUAUAAUCCUAGCACUUUGGGAGGUCAAGGAGGGAGGAUCACUUGGGCCCAGGAGUUCAAGGCCAGCCUGGGCAACAUAGCGGGACGCUGUCUGUACAAAAAAUAAUUUUUUUAAAUAAACGAUAUUAUGAGGAUGGUC
rnacentral:lncRNA from 10 species